CCUACGGGUGGCUGCAGUGGGGAAUAUUGGACAAUGGGCGAAAGCCUGAUCCAGCCAUGCCGCGUGUGUGAAGAAGGCCUUCGGGUUGUAAAGCACUUUCAGUGGGGAAGAAAGCCUUGGGGCUAAUACCCUCGAGGAAGGACAUCACCCACAGAAGAAGCACCGGCUAACUCCGUGCCAGCAGCCGCGGUAAUACGGAGGGUGCGAGCGUUAAUCGGAAUUACUGGGCGUAAAGCGCGCGUAGGCGGUCUGAUAAGCCGGUUGUGAAAGCCCCGGGCUCAACCUGGGAACGGCAUCCGGAACUGUCAGGCUAGAGUGCAGGAGAGGAAGGUAGAAUUCCCGGUGUAGCGGUGAAAUGCGUAGAGAUCGGGAGGAAUACCAGUGGCGAAGGCGGCCUUCUGGACUGACACUGACGCUGAGGUGCGAAAGCGUGGGUAGCAAACAGGAUUAGAUACCCCUUAGUC
rnacentral:rRNA from 1 species